AGGUUAACCACAUAUUAUGAGUAAUUGACUACCAUCAAUAUAACUUGUGACUAUCUUAGGGCCCGUUCGUAACUCUUAAAAAAAAUGGUUUUUUAGUAUUUUAAUUAAAAAUCUGAAAAUAUAGUAAGGAAAUACGUUCGGUAAUUCAAUUUUAUUUUUUAUUUUUUUAAUAUAAAAUCAAAAUUAAUUAAAUUUUGAAAACAUAAAUUUGAAGCUUUUAAAAAAAAAUUAAAUCGUAUUUUCAUUUGUUCCCUCGUAUUUUCAUUUGUUCUCUUUCCUUUUUUUCCUUGUUCUCUCUCUCCUUGGAUUGGGUGCUCUCUCUCCCUUGACUCGUCUCCUUCGAAGCGGCGGUCACAACCUCUGUUCUCUCUGGCCACUACUUUACAAAGCACGGAUGGAACUUUGACUGAUAGUGUAGAGUUCAGUAUUUCUAGAACUCAUACGUGAAAUGGCUCAUGUUCGUGAUAAAAUUGUUGAUCAUAUAUGAAGAACUAGUCGACGAUAGUAAGAUUGAGUAAAGACAUUAGUUGAUUAUUAUGACUCGUUUAAUACUUUACUUUAAGUUUGGACAAUUAUCAAUUCAUACGUUUUUAUUUUACUAUGUAGACGUUAUUGAUUUUGUGUUAUCUCAUGAAUAGAUAUUAAGUUUUGAAA